rnacentral:rRNA from 1 species
AACGCUAGCUACAGGCUUAACACAUGCAAGUCGAGGGGCAGCACAGUGUAGCAAUACAUGGGUGGCGACCGGCGCACGGGUGCGUAACGCGUAUCCAACCCUCCCGUUACUCUUGGAUAGCCUUCCGAAAGGGAGAUUAAUACAAGAUGGUAUUCAAAUUCCGCAUGUUAUUUGAAUUAAAGAUUUAUCGGUAACGGAUAGGGAUGCGUGACAUUAGAUAGUUGGCGGGGUAACGGCCCACCAAGUCUACGAUGUCUAGGGGUUCUGAGAGGAAGGUCCCCCACACUGGAACUGAGACACGGUCCAGACUCCUACGGGAGGCAGCAGUGAGGAAUAUUGGUCAAUGGCCGAGAGGCUGAACCAGCCAAGUAGCGUGAAGGAUGAAGGUUCUAUGGAUUGUAAACUUCUUUUAUACGGGAAUAACAUCACCUACGUGUAGGUGCCUGCAUGUACCGUAUGAAUAAGCAUCGGCUAACUCCGUGCCAGCAGCCGCGGUAAUACGGAGGAUGCGAGCGUUAUCCGGAUUUAUUGGGUUUAAAGGGAGCGUAGACGGGAUGUUAAGUCAGCUGUGAAAGCCUGCGGCCCAACCGCAGAACUGCAGUUGAUACUGGCGUUCUUGAGUGCGUACGAGGUAUGUGGAAUUCGUGGUGUAGCGGUGAAAUGCUUAGAUAUCACGAAGAACUCCGAUUGCGAAGGCAGCGUACCAGUCCGUAACUGACGUUGAUGCUCGAAAGUGUGGGUAUCAAACAGGAUUAGAUACCCUGGUAGUCCACACGGUAAACGAUGGAUACUCGCUGUUGGCGAUAUAUUGUCAGCGGCCAAGUGAAAACGUUAAGUAUCCCACCUGGGGAGUACGCCGGCAACGGUGAAACUCAAAGGAAUUGACGGGGGCCCGCACAAGCGGAGGAACAUGUGGUUUAAUUCGAUGAUACGCGAGGAACCUUACCCGGGCUUAAAUUGCACUGGACAGACUCAGAGAUGGGUUUUUCUUCGGACCAGUGUGAAGGUGCUGCAUGGUUGUCGUCAGCUCGUGCCGUGAGGUGUCGGCUUAAGUGC